AUGGAUUGGUGCCUUCGGGAACUUACAUACAGGUGCUGCAUGGCUGUCGUCAGCUCGUGUCGUGAGAUGUUGGGUUAAGUCCCGCAACGAGCGCAACCCUUUUCCUUAUUUGCCAGGGGGUUAAGCCGGGAACUUUAAGGAUACUGCCAGUGACAUACUGGAGGAAGGCGGGGACGACGUCAUGUCAUCAUGGCCCUUACGACCAGGGCUACACACGUGCUACAAUGGUCGGUACAAAGGGUUGCUAGCUAGCGAUAGGAUGCUAAUCUCAAAAAGCCGAUCGUAGUCCGGAUUGGAGUCUGCAACUCGCCUCCAUGAAGUCGGAAUCGCUAGUAAUCGCGGAUCAGCAUGCCGCGGUGA
rnacentral:rRNA from 1 species